AGAGUUUGAUCCUGGCUCAGAACGAACGCUGGCGGCAGGCUUAACACAUGCAAGUCAAACGGGUGUAGCAAUACACUAGUGGCGCAAGGGUGAGAAACGCGUGGGAAAUUGCCUUUCAGUUCGGAAUAACGUCGGGAAACUGACGCUAAUACCGAAUGGUCCCUCCGGGGUAAAGAUUUAUCGCUGAAAGAUAUGCCCGCGUCAGAUUAGCUAGUUGGUGGGGUAACGGCCUACCAAGGCAACGAUCUGUAGCUGGUCUUAGAGGACGAUCAGCCACACUGGAACUGAGACACGGUCCAGACUCCUACGGGAGGCAGCAGUGGGGAAUAUUGGACAAUGGGGGCAACCCUGAUCCAGCCAUGCCGCGUGAGUGAUGAAGGCCUUCGGGUUGUAAAGCUCUUUUGUCAGGGAAGAUGAUGACGGUACCUGAAGAAUAAGCCCCGGCUAACUUCGUGCCAGCAGCCGCGGUAAUACGAAGGGGGCUAGCGUUGUUCGGAAUUACUGGGCGUAAAGGGUGUGUAGGCGGCUCGACAAGUCAGAAGUGAAAUCCCUGGGCUCAACCCAGGAAUUGCUUUUGAGACUGCCGGGCUUGAGUAUAGGAGAGGUAAGUGGAAUUCCCAGUGUAGAGGUAAAAUUCGUAGAUAUUGGGAGGAACACCAGUGGCGAAGGCGGCUUACUGGCCUAUUACUGACGCUGAGACACGAAAGCGUGGGGAGCAAACAGGAUUAGAUACCCUGGUAGUCCACGCUGUAAACGAUGAAUGCUAGUUGUUGGAAGGUUUACCUUUCAGUGACGCCGCUAACGCAUUAAGCAUUCCGCCUGGGGAGUACGGCCGCAAGGUUGAAACUCAAAGGAAUUGACGGGGGCCCGCACAAGCGGUGGAGUAUGUGGUUUAAUUCGACGCAACGCGAAGAACCUUACCAGGCCUUGACAUGUCUAGUGUGGCCCCAAGAGAUUGGGGCCUUCAGUUCGGCUGGCUAGAACACAGGUGCUGCAUGGCUGUCGUCAGCUCGUGUCGUGAGAUGUUGGGUUAAGUCCCGCAACGAGCGCAACCCUCAUUGUCAGUUGCUACCAGGUUAUGCUGGGCACUCUGAUGAAACUGCCGGUGAUAAGCCGGAGGAAGGCGGGGAUGACGUCAAGUCCUCAUGGCCCUUACGGCCUGGGCUACACACGUACUACAAUGGUGGUGACAGUGGGAAGCCAAAGCGCAAGCUGGAGCGAACCCCCAAAAGCCACCUCAGUUCAGAUUGCUCUCUGCAACUCGAGAGCAUGAAGUCGGAAUCGCUAGUAAUCGCAGAUCAGCACGCUGCGGUGAAUACGUUCCCGGGCCUUGUACACACCGCCCGUCACGCCAUGGAAGUUGGUUCUACCUGAAGACGGGGCGCUAACCGCAAGGAAGCAGCCGGCCACGGUAGGGUCAAUGACUGGGGCGAAGUCGUAACAAGGUA
rnacentral:rRNA from 1 species